GUGUGUUUGAAGCUGUUAGUUGGGGGAAUGUAGCCUCACAGACCGUCCAGAAGCCGUGGGCAGACAGCAGGAACACAGCAUAUCACAGAGGAAGAACACCUGAGCAGAGGAGCUACACACAGGACUUCCAGAUGAACUUUGGAGGUCAUGCAGGAGGACUGAGAUCGACUCAGACUUCAGAGACGCCCAACACACACCUCACACCUGAGCCACUGUACUUUCAGGAUGAGGAUGAGUUUCCUGAUCUGGCCACCGGUGGUGCUGCUCAGCGGAAUAAACCAGAACCAGUUCAGCCCAAGCUGCCCAAGAACCUGGUGAGAGUUUGACAGGAGCAAAGAGAGCUAAAAUAUGAGCAAAAAAACCCCACUCUAAUUUAGCAAUGCCCAUUGUUAUUGGAACGUUAUCAGAACCUGUCGAUAAAAGAAAAAAUAUAUAAAUGUGUGCAUCUUACGAUUUUUAAAAAAAGAUGCAGAUAUUCCUUUGCUGUUAAAGACAAAUGAAUCACAUUCUUUUUGCCUGAAUGAUGUCUGAGCAGCUCUCUGAAACUAAAAGACUAAUUUAGUUACUUUAUUUUCAAGGCUUGCAAUGUACUCUUGUUUAAAAAAAGAACUUUAAUAAUGAUUAUUAAAUCAAACAAAUAGGCUUUUGCUUAAAACUGACAGAAAUGUAAAAUGUUUUGUUCAUAAUUUUCUGCACUGGAGAAACUUGGUCUAGUUUCAAAACAGGGAAAUAUUGGCAUUGUUAU